ACUGAGAAAAGAACCUUUUCAACCAUUGCUGUCAUUUACAUUUUAACUGGUCUAAUUGUCCUCAUUUCCUUCCUAUUUACCAUGGAUGCCAUGGAUAUGUUGUGUACAGAGAUGACCACACAGCUCACCAAUGGGAUGAGAUCAGAAAGUUCCCCUGUAGGACCCUAAACCAAGCUACUCUCAUGUAGCUUUCCCCAGGAAUAAUGAUAAUGAUAAGAGCUCAUACAAUUUACAAAUCCUAAGAUGGGUAGAAAAAAUGCUAUUAACCCCAUUUCAUGGAUGAGAAAACAGAGAGAGAGAGAAAAAUGUUUAAUAGCUUGUGUUCCUGGAAAAUCUCGGAGCUGCAGACUCUGGCUCAGCAUACACGAAUAGCACAACAAUUUGUGGUGUUGUCAAUCUUUAAAUUUACCAUCCCUAUGAAGUCACUCUAAUCUUUCCAUGGACUGGUCUAUGAUCUUACUGAUUUGGCUUCUCCAUCCAGGCUCUGAGCAUAGAGAUUUCCUUCCAGCUGUUCCUAAAUCUACUGCACUCUUAAUCACUUGAGAAGCAAGACUCCCAAGAUCCUGAGGCUCAUCAUUCACUUCCUGUAUGUCCUGAAGAUGAACCCAAGACCCUCAGACUCCAAGUCAAGCCCACUUUCCACCACUCAAAACUACAUCUUACAAUGCAUACUUGGAGGUGUGCAAAUGGAUCUAUAGAUUUGUGUCCAGACUUAGAAUUUAAUUGGUAAAUGGAGCUCCCAGUGAGAAAAAUCAUUCUAUCAAUGUUAGUGAUCACCUUUUCUGCAACAUGACUUAUCCAUGGGCCAUACAACCUGUGUUUGUCAGAGGAUGGACUUAAAUCCAGGUCUUGAAGCCAAUUCUCUAUCCACUGCAUCUCACUGCCUUUAAUAUGUAUAUGUCUGCAUAUAGACAUAAAAUUUAUAUAUUA